GACGAACGCUGGCGGCGUGCUUAACACAUGCAAGUCGAGCGGUAAGGCCCUUUCGGGGGUACGACGAGCGGCGAACGGGUGAGUAACACGUGGGUGACCUGCCCUCAGCUCUGGGAUAAGCCUGGGAAACCGGGGUCUAAUACCGGAUAUGACUCCAUGACGCAUGUUGUGGGGUGGAAAGCCUUGUGCGGCUGAGGAUGGGCCCGCGGCCUAUCAGCUUGUUGGUGGGGUGAUGGCCUACCAAGGCGACGACGGGUAGCCGGCCUGAGAGGGCGACCGGCCACACUGGGACUGAGACACGGCCCAGACUCCUACGGGAGGCAGCAGUGGGGAAUCUUGCGCAAUGGGCGAAAGCCUGACGCAGCGACGCCGCGUGAGGGAUGACGGCCUGUGU
rnacentral:rRNA from 1 species